CGCCAAUAUAGGAAGAAGACGAACUAUGGUCUACUAAUGCGUAUGUUCAAUGUUCCCGGAUGCAAAGAAGGGGGGAGACUGGCAAGUGAGGACGUUGAAUUUUGACGUCUGCGUUAUCCUCAGCUUUACAGAACAUGUCUGAGAAGCCAGAAAUUCAGUGCCCCAUGUGCAAGUGGACAUAUUUAAACAUUGCCCGGCACCUGAAGAUGGCUCACAGAUGUGUGAACCAACAAGAGUGGAGUAUCCUGGUGAACUGGGCAACGGGACACAACAAUAUCUGUAGCUGCCCUUGUCCUGUGUAUGGGUGCAAAUACAAGCCUGGAAACCACCUUGAAAGGCACAUUAUCAACACCCACCCAGAGUUCUGCCAGCAAACAGCAGGAGAUGCUGUCCCGUGCCAGGACAAUCCAGGCCAUGCUUCUGCUGGGGGAGCUGUGGGUAUCCAUGAGCACUCCAUCCAUGGUGUCGGAUUUUGACAAGAGGGAGCUGGACGCCCCGGCUAGCCGGGUGGUGGAGCAGCCUACUUCCAGUGAAGACCAGGUGUGCUUCAGUGUGCCCUGCACAGACCUCUUGAAAAGCAACAAAUCUGAGCUGGAGAAGAUCAGGGUGGAUCUGGAGGCUAGGGUGGCAGAGCAGCAGCACACCAUAACAACCUAUAAGAGAUUGGUGGCCAGUCUGAGGAGAAGGCUGGCUCCUGCAGGGGUCGAUCCCACUGCUCAUCUGGUUAAGAGACAGAGGACUGAGGUGGGGGAGGCAUCCACCAGCACCCACUUUGAGCCCCUUUCCGGUGGAGGAUCACAGGCGUCUGCGGUUUUGUUGAGGUGUCUCGGGGUGUGACCAAGGAGCGUAGCCCUGCACGUUGAUCGGAUUUCGUCAUUUGAAACUAAAAAAGGUGACGAAGUCAGUCAUUCUGCUUCUAUCAAGAGAUACAAUGCAAUCUUUACGGGGAGAUCAGCUUCAAAUCUGGGAGGAAACAAAGAAGGUGGUGAAGUCUGUCAUUCUGCUUCUAUCAAGAAAUACAACGCAAUCUUCAGUAAACCCACAAGUGAUGAGCUGGAUGGUAUCGUUUUAACACAGUCCGACUACAAUUUAACGAGAGACGUAUUCCUGAAUGAUCACCUUGAAGGAGUCAGCGGAUGUAACCGUCUGUCCCUGAAAAAAUCAAAGUUGAGAUGGAAACUAGUCUUCAAAAAAGACAAUCCAAUCCCAGCUAAACAUAUCCAUGAAGGAGAGGGUGAAGCCAUUCAUGCACCACAGUCCCCUGACCGUGCACCGGAAAAAUGAACAGCUCCGGAAGAGGAGAG